rnacentral:piRNA from 1 species
AAUUAGAGAAGUUGAUGAUUGACAGG